GUGCUGGAUUCGGCAGCACAUAGACUAAACUUCGAACGAUACAGAGAAGAUUAGCAUGGCCCCUGUGCAAGGAUGACACGCAAAGUCGUAAAGCGUUCCAUAUACUU